UUGCUUUGGCAGCAGAUAUACUGAAAUUGGAGUGAUACAGAGAAGAUUAGCAUGGCCCCUGUGCUAGAAUGACAGGUAAAUUUGUGAAGCAUUCCAUAUUUUU